AUUGAACGCUGGCGGCAGGCCUAACACAUGCAAGUCGAACGGUAACAGGAAGCAGCUUGCUGCUUUGCUGACGAGUGGCGGACGGGUGAGUAAUGUCUGGGAAACUGCCUGAUGGAGGGGGAUAACUACUGGAAACGGUAGCUAAUACCGCAUAACGUCGCAAGACCAAAGAGGGGGACCUUCGGGCCUCUUGCCAUCGGAUGUGCCCAGAUGGGAUUAGCUAGUAGGUGGGGUAACGGCUCACCUAGGCGACGAUCCCUAGCUGGUCUGAGAGGAUGACCAGCCACACUGGAACUGAGACACGGUCCAGACUCCUACGGGAGGCAGCAGUGGGGAAUAUUGCACAAUGGGCGCAAGCCUGAUGCAGCCAUGCCGCGUGUAUGAAGAAGGCCUUCGGGUUGUAAAGUACUUUCAGCGGGGAGGAAGGGAGUAAAGUUAAUACCUUUGCUCAUUGACGUUACCCGCAGAAGAAGCACCGGCUAACUACGUG
rnacentral:rRNA from 1 species